CAGGAAGGGGAACAGCCUGGCUGUCAUUUCCCCAGGGCUGAGGCUGGGGCAGGCAAUGGGCUUUGCAGAUGUUUCUGGACACAUAGGAGGCUUCACCUGAUGCAUACACUGCUGUCUUCCUGGCCUCAUACCUGCCUUGUGCCCUUCGACAGUUCCCUGCUGGAGGGGUCGACCUCAUCGCCACAGAAGCUCCGAACGCCAUUGCAUCCUACAACUCGGGCUUCCUGCAGCCUGGACGCGUCGCAAGCGCUUCUCUUUUUCCGGACUCGACGCCAAAGCACAGGCCUCUCGAGACGCUCGAUACGAUCCACACGGUGUGUACUGGACCUGUGUGAUGUCCUGUGCAGUGGAGGGACAGUGACGGUCCCCGCAGCCGGUAUAGCAAAGGGCUGGAGACGGGCCCAGGGCUGGAGACGUGCGCAGCGCUGGCGACCGAUGCUGGGCUGGAGACAUGCGCAGGGCUGGAGACGUGACAUGGACCCCAACAAACAUGGACAGGGACAGCGUAUGCCUGGCCCUGAGAACUAACGGCAGAUUGAAACUGAAGGCCUAUAGACAGACCCAGGACAAUAAACACCCCAGUGAACAGGUGCGUGCCAGGUGCCAGGGGAUACACGGGUUUCUCCGUGGGUCUUCAGCUGGAGCAGGAGUGGAAAUUGGAAUCACCUGGGACACAAGAACCCACUUCUCCAAGGUCCGGCUCUGUCUUCAGUGCAAACCAAGUAGGCAAGUCGAGUGGGAGUGGAAGACACCAUUGCCUUGUGUCUUUCCGAGUUCUUGGUGGUGUAUGAAUCUGGGCAGUCUCUCCAAGAGUGAGAGUUACUUUUGUUUCACUGUUUUGGUAGGGAGAGGCAUUUCCAGCACCUUCCACCUGGCCUUUCCUUCACCGAAUCUCUUAUUCCACACAUCAGAAAACCAGUGUCCGCUGUUGAGGAUGUCUCUUCAGUCUAAGGAUUCCAGAAAUUAGAGAAAUAACCACAAGGGUGGGUCCGGGAAACCACCUAUCACACCUCCUCCUUAUGUCUCCACUCUCCCUGGUCCACUAAGAUGGCCGUGGUUUGGGGUCUCCAGAAGUAGUUGAGUAUUUAACAAAAUGGUAAGAUCAACAAAGCAUGUUUUAGUAAAAAAAAAAAAAAAAAAAAGUCCGCAGGAGACGACAGAUUACUAUUUUACCAAUAAAGAAGGCAAUGGCACUGUUUUUAAAUGAGGAGAGAGGAAAUGCUGAAAAUGCACAGGGAAUAGUGACUCUGUCCAUCCUCAGCUUCCUCCAGACUUUCCAGAACCUGAAUGUGCGUGAGGCACUGCGCAUACAUCUUCCUCCUCUCUGGAGAAGCAGACUAUCGGAAAGAACUCCUCGUCCCCAUCUCUCCUGCUCAGAAAUUCCCACUCUGUGACUUCCCAUUUCAGAGUGGAUGCCAGAUCUGAAUCUGUCUCUCUUGGUGUCCUCACUCCCAUCUCCCCUGAAUUCCCACCCAGAGCUCCCCCUUCACCCACAGGUCCAACAUCAUUUCACCUGGUGUCUAGGACCUUCAUGGAAGUGACUAAUUUUGCAUUUCAAACGGAUUUUAUGCUAUUUACACAUUCAGUGUCUCUCCCUGCCUCAUAAGUAAUUGUCCCUGAGAGGGAAGGUGAUGUAUCUGAGAAUUUGUUAUAACGAUUCUGUAAGCAAGCGAAAGGCGUUGAGCAAUAAGUUGCCCCAUGGAAUUCUAAGCCGUUAUCUUCUCAUUGCUAAAUCGUGUAAGACAAUAAAUGAACACUUACACAGCAAAUAACUACAUUAUUAAUGAUUGGUUAAUAACUGCUUCGUUGACCACCAAUGCUUAAUGUAAGGCUAUUUAUUAAUGAGUAGUAAAUUGAUAAUGCACCCCUGAGAAGAUAAUUUGAGGGGAAUUUUAAAGCGGAAUUUGAGGCUCGUUCUAAAAGUACAAAAUGAUAUCAUAAAAAUAUGACUCACUUUCCUUC